CACACCUGGGACGGACACACACACACACACACACACAAUGAAGGUUUAUGAAGUUUGGAAACAUUUAGAUAUGGCAGAUUCUUUGUGUUAAUAGCUCACCUGCUAAAAAAUGUACAGACUACGCCAAAGUCACCCAUUGAAAAAAAAAAAUCAACGCAUUUUUGUUAAGAAUGUAUUCCAAAUCCUUUGAGUUAAAGUCUGCUUGAAAAGUUUGUGUUUCUUGUCAUUUCUGUGUAAUUGUUUAACACCCACUGUUGUUGUAUUUUGUAUUAUUUAAAGCUUAGGGUUGCUAUAUGUUACUAUAACAUCAACAUUCCAUGCACCACUUUAAGUAAAGCCUGCAUGCCCUCACACACACACACACACACACACACACACACACACACACACACACACACACACACACACACACACACACACACACACACACACACACACACACACAAAAACACACGUACACACACACACACACACACACACACACACACACACACACACACACACAUACAGACCAUACAAUCCUAAAAAGAGCCGCCUAUUUAAAAAACAAAAAACACACACACAGCUGUCCUCAAAAACAAAACAAGAAAAUGGACCAAAGCGUGGUCAUAGCUGCCAGACUCUGCUCACUUCACCAUUCAUCUGGGCAGUGGUCACUCCGGUCUUCAUUACCUGUUUUAAUAUAGAAAACCACCGCCGUGACUCACUGUCUGCAGGAACCCUCCAGCGUAGUGAAUGGUCUCAUGUAAGCUCUCCAUAAACCCUGCUGUUACUCUACCCCUGUCCAGUGCUGUGCCAGCAGCCUCGUACGACCAGUGUUUGUACCGUGCAGGUGGAGGAAGAACGGGGUGUGUGAAUUGGGGAGGAAGUUGUUCAGGUGGGCUACGCACUUGCAGGUAUCUCUGACUUGUGUGCAACAAACAUCCACACACCUCACCUCAAACACACAUAGACCAAUGUAUUUACAAACACACACACACACACACACACACACACACACACACACACACACACACACACACACACACACACACACACACACACACACACACACACACACACACAAACACACACACACACACACACAAA